CGUAGGGUGCGAGCGUUGUCCGGAAUUACUGGGCGUAAAGAGCUCGUAGGUGGUUUGUCGCGUCGUUUGUGUAAGCCCAUGGCUUAACUGUGGGACUGCAGGCGAUACGGGCAUAACUUGAGUGCUGUAGGGGAGACUGGAAUUCCUGGUGUAGCGGUGAAAUGCGCAGAUAUCGGGAGGAACACCGAUGGCGAAGGCAGGUCUCUGGGCAGUUACUGAACGCUGAGGAGCGAAAGCAUGGGGGAGCGAACAGGAUU
rnacentral:rRNA from 1 species